UAUUGGGCAAUGGGCGCAAGCCUGACCCAGCAACGCCGCGUGAAGGAAGAAGGCUUUCGGGUNGUAAACUUCUUUUGUCGGGGACNNNNNNNANGACGGUACCCGACGAAUAAGCCACGGCUAACUACGUNNNAGCGGCCACGGUACUACGUAGGUGGCAAGCGUUAUCCGAAUUUACCGGGUGUAAAGGGCGUGUAGGCGGGAUUGAAAGUCAGAUGUGAAAACUGGGGGCUCAACCUCCAGCCUGCAUUUGAAACUGUAGUUCUUGAGUGCUGGAAAGGCAAUCGGAAUUCCGUGUGUAGCGGUGAAAUGCGUAGAUAUACGGAGGAACACCAGUGGCGAAGGCGGAUUGCUGGACAGUAACUGACGCUGAGGCGCGAAAGCGUGGGGAGCAAA
rnacentral:rRNA from 1 species